GCUGUGAUGGCCAAGAGGUUAAGGCAUUGUAUUUGAAAUCCAAUGGGGUAUCCCUGGGCAGGUUCGAAUCCUGCUCACAGUA
rnacentral:tRNA from 1 species